AUCGCUUCUAGGCCUUUUGCUGAGGUCGUGUAGUAUCUGUUCUUAUCUAUUUAAUAUCUGAUAUGUCCUCUGAGGACAAUAUGUUAAAUGUAUUUUUGGAGCAGGGAGAUGGAAUAGAGCUUGCCUCAUCCACUCCGUGCAUUGACCUGGUAUUGCAGUACUUCCGGGAACAGUGCACCCAAA
ensembl:snRNA U2 U2 spliceosomal RNA